rnacentral:lncRNA from 1 species
AGCAGAUUCGCCCUGGAGCCAGUGACAGACCCUCCUCGCCCGCUACCACGGGACGGCCAGGUGCUGGAGCAGGGAGCCUAGCCCCGCCUGCGACCUCCCCCGUCUUUUAGGGGCGCUCAGCACUUCAGGAGCCCACCCGACCUGGUUCUCCAGACCCCCGCGAACGUCACCGCUGGAGUGAGGUUUGUGUUUACCACGCAAAGUCAGAAGUGUUUGGCAAUCCAUAUGCACAUCGCUUGGAAUGGGAAUCUGUGUAAAAGGUAAACCAGACUACUUCUGCUGGCGACCUGGAUUGGCUCCCUGCUCUGAUGGAAACGAUCCUCCCAAUCUAUCAACCCAGAAAGAAAAAAAGAAGAAGGAAAGAAAGAAAGAAAAGAAAAGAAGACCCCCCCCCCCCCCGUUUUCCUCUUCCACUGUUGUAUUUAAGCCAAUGGGAAAGUAUGGAGCGCUGUAAUUGAUUCGUAAUGAUCCAUAAGUCGAUGCUGGAAAGCGGGGGUGGGGUGGAGGUGCACGGAAACUGGGG